CUCCUACGGGGGGCAGCAGUGGGGAAUAUUGAACAAUGGGCGAAAGCCUGAUGCAGCGACGCCGCGUGAGUGAAGAAGUAUUUCGGUAUGUAAAGCUCUAUCAGCAGGGAAGAAAAUGACGGUACCUGACUAAGAAGCCCCGGCUAACUACGUGCCAGCAGCCGCGGUAAUACGUAGGGGGCAAGCGUUAUCCGGAUUUACUGGGUGUAAAGGGAGCGUAGACGGCGAAGCAAGUCUGAAGUGAAGACCC
rnacentral:rRNA from 1 species